AAAGAUAGCCCCUUCGUACGAAAGGAGUUGGGUAUAUUGACCUAUGGUUUACCUAUUGUUUAUGUUAUAUAUCAUUAUAAGAUAUAUCAUUUACUUAUACUUAAGUAAAUAGUUCGCAUAGGCAUGGCAGGAAGGCUACGUCAGUUAAAGAUAAGUGCUGAAAGCAUUUAAGCGCGAAGCUUACUUU
rnacentral:ncRNA from 1 species